rnacentral:rRNA from 1 species
GGCAACCCUGACGGAGCAACGCCGCGUGAGGGAGGAAGGCUCUUGGGUUGUAAACCUCUUUUCUCAAGGAAGAUAAUGACGGUACUUGAGGAAUCAGCAUCGGCUAACUCCGUGCCAGCAGCCGCGGUAAUACGGAGGCUGCAAGCGUUAUCCGGAAUAAUUGGGCGUAAAGCGUCCGUAGGCGGUUUUUCAAGUCUGCCGUUAAAGACUACAGCUUAACUGUGGGCCGGCGGUGGAAACUGAGGAACUUGAGUAUGGUAGGGGUAGAGGGAAUUCCCAGUGUAGCGGUGAAAUGCGUAGAUAUUGGGAAGAACACCAGUGGCGAAGGCGCUCUGCUGGGCCAUAACUGACGCUGAGGGACGAAAGCUAGGGGAGCG